CGAUUGGUCUGAGUCAUAGCUGAGUCAUGAAAUCUACAGGAAGUACUGUCGCCAAUCAGGAGUUAGUUUAUUGCAACCGUCCGCCUUUUUCCACGCCUUUACCACGAGACAGCGGAUGUAAACAGUUUCUACUUUAAUCACGGCGGCUCGAGAGAAUUGUACAAGUCUUUGUUCAAGCCUUGAGGGAGAACCAUUCCAACUUUGGAUUCUUCAAACGGUAAUGUUGUAUUUACUUACACAUUUUCUUUUUUGUCGAGCUAAAAGAUGUGUCGCCACACAUAUUCCGAAAACAUAAACAUCUCAGUUAUAAUCAGCUAUUUUGAUAUUGAAACCAGUGACUGUAGACACUGGCCUUUCCGAACGCAUGUCCGCGUUAACUUUCAACUUCUUUUGUUUGCAUUGCGAGCGUGUUUUCUUACACCCGGUAUAACGGCGUUGAGACCAUAGACCGUUUAAUAAGAAUACCUACUACUACAGUCAAUUGUUGAGCCCAAGAGCCAAGGGAAAAAUCGUUUUUUUUAUACAUUUAAAAUAAAAAGACGGGUUAUCAACUUCUUUUUAUAGAGGGGGUGACGCGCCUAGGAGGGCCCAGACUGCAUAAGCAUUGUGUGGAAACGAUUGCCUGUGUUUAAGAUAAACAAUACAUUUCGAAUUAAAUAGAUCUGAUUAAAUGUUUACUUUUUUUCUGUUGCACAUGAAAUAUACUGUUACAUCAAAUGUCCACUUUAAUCUAGCGCGGUUGUUAUUAGUGGCACACACUCACUACUGUGCACAUUUACAAAACAUAAAAAUAAAAAAAUGGGGGUUCAAUCAAUUUUUUUGUAAUGUGUCUUUCUUUUACAUCACAGAUUUGUGAAAAGAUGGCCAGUGAAGCAAAGACAUGCACAGUCUGGAUAAUUGGGGACAGUUAUGUCAGAAGAGGACAUGACUUUGCCUCCAGGACCAUGGGGAAAAACCUUGAGGUUUCCAACGCCAUCAUCAGCUGGUUUGGCUGGGGUGGCCUGAGGUGGAAGGGACUGGUGCCAUUCUUUCUCCAGUGCCUAAGAGGGAGACCAGCCCCAGACGUCCUCCUUAUACACUGCGGCGGGAAUGACCUGGGUGAAGAAAAAAGCAUCAAGCUCGUCACAGUAAUGAAAGAGGAUCUGCACAGACUCCACCAGCAACACGCAUCAAUGAAGAUAAUUUUUUCUGGGUUGACACAGAGGUGCAAGUGGAGGGCUGUUUCUCAUCCUGGGAAGUUGGAGAAGUCUAGAAAAUUUAUUAACAAUGUUAUAUCUGGAUUUAUGCCACCUAUUGUUUCCUUUGUCCACCACCCUUUGAUUAGGCAUGACACUCCAGGUUUAUUUUUAGCAGACAAAGUUCAUUUCACCCCUAAGGGAAAUUACAUAUUUUUAACAACCUUGGCCAAAUCUAUAAAGGACGUACUUAAAUAAAAUUGAACAUUCGUGAAAAUUUAUGUUCUUGAGGUUUUGUUUUGCCAGAUUAUUCGGGAAUAACUCAAAUUUUUAAUGCCUUAUGCAAUCUCUAUCAAAAUACUUUCUAAUAAUGUUUUCUUUUGUAUUCAUUCAUGUCAUUUAUUAUUUUUGGCCUACUUAUCAUGUUCUUCCUUUAUGUUUAUUACAAUUACUUGUACCCCAGACGUGACUUUGCAUAGUGCAUGUGACAGGUUGUUGACAAAAAUGACUAAAUGACACAAAAUAACAAAUAAACCUUGUUUUUUCUGAAA